GAUGAAGAACGCAGCGAAAUGCGAUACGUAAUGUGAAUUGCAGAAUUCAGUGAAUCAUCGAGUCUUUGAACGCACAUUGCGCCCCCUGGUAUUCCGGGGGGCAUGCCUGUCCGAGCGUCAUUGCUGCCCUCAAGCCCGGCUUGUGUGUUGGGUCUCGUCCCCCUUCCCGGGGGGACGGGCCCGAAAGGCAGCGGCGGCACCGCGUCCGGUCCUCGAGCGUAUGGGGCUUUGUCACCCGCUCUGUAGGCCCGGACGGCGCUUGCCGAUCAACCAAAACUUUUUUCCAGGUUGACCUCGGAUCAGGUAGGGAUACCCGCUGAACUUAAGCAUAUCAAUAAGCGGAGGA
rnacentral:misc_RNA from 1 species